rnacentral:rRNA from 1 species
AGUAAAAGUCGUAACAAGGUUUCCGUAGGUGAAGCAGAUGCACGUUUGCCUACCGAAGCCGAGCGGGUCGACCCUAAACACCUGCGCGAGUCUGCCCUCCGGUCGGGGCGGGCGACGCCAUCAAUCUGUGCUGGGAGCGAUCCUUCGGGCGUAACCAGCAGCUCGUCAAAGAGUUCACAGAUCAAACGACGGCGGCUAUGUAUAUCCAUGGUUUAGAUAUGAUCGGCCCCAACUGUCAUAAGUUGGCGAAAUGUUUGCGGAACCUGCGGAAGGAUCAUUAUCGAGAGGGGUCUCCGGACUCCGGGGGCUUCGGCCCCCUUCUCUUCACCCGAUGUUUACCCACCCUCGUUGCUUUGGCGGGCCUCGGGCUCGACCCGUGCCGGCCGUGGGCCCUCAUACCCCCGGCCGUCCGUGCCCGUCAGAGGUUUAUGAACCCUCGUCUAUCAGUGUCGUCCGAGUAAAAGCACAACAGUAAAAACUUUCAACAACGGAUCUCUUGGUUCUGGCAUCGAUGAAGAACGCAGCGAAAUGCGAUAAGUAAUGUGAAUUGCAGAAUUCAGUGAAUCAUCGAAUCUUUGAACGCACAUUGCGCCCCUCGGUAUUCCGGGGGGCAUGCCUGUUCGAGCGUCAUUGCAUCCCUCAAGCGUAGCUUGGUCUUGGGCCUUCGCCUCCCGCGGCGGGCCUGAAAGUGAGUGGCGGUCCGGUGCGGGUUCAAGCGUAGUACAAUACCUCCCGCUUUGGAAGAUCGCGCCGUGGCCGGCCAUGACGCCCAACUUUUCAAUGA